rnacentral:rRNA from 1 species
ACUCCUGCGGGAGGCAGCAGUGGGGAAUUUUGGACAAUGGGCGAAAGCCUGAUCCAGCAAUGCCGCGUGUGUGAAGAAGGCCUUCGGGUUGUAAAGCACUUUUGUCCGGAAAGAAAUCCUUGGCUCUAAUACAGUCGGGGGAUGACGGUACCGGAAGAAUAAGCACCGGCUAACUACGUGCCAGCAGCCGCGGUAAUACGUAGGGUGCGAGCGUUAAUCGGAAUUACUGGGCGUAAAGCGUGCGCAGGCGGUUUGCUAAGACCGAUGUGAAAUCCCCGGGCUCAACCUGGGAACUGCAUUGGUGACUGGCAGGCUAGAGUAUGGCAGAGGGGGGUAGAAUUCCACGUGUAGCAGUGAAAUGCGUAGAGAUGUGGAGGAAUACCGAUGGCGAAGGCAGCCCCCUGGGCCAAUACUGACGCUCAUGCACGAAAGCGUGGGGAGCAAACAGGAUUAGAAACCCGGGUAGUCC